GGGUAGCAAACGGGAUUAGAGACCCCGGUAGUCCUAGCUGUAAACGAUGUGAACUUGGCGUCGGUGGGAUUAAAUCCAUCGGUGUCGAAGCUAACGCGAUAAGUUCACCGCCUGAGGACUACGGCCGCAAGGUUAAAACUCAAAGGAAUUGACGGGGACCCGCACAAGCAGCGGAGCGUGUGGUUUAAUUCGUUGCUACACGAAGAACCUUACCUAGGUUUGACAUAUAGGUUGUAGGGAACUGAAAAGGGACCGACCCUCGGGGAGCCUAUACAGGUGUUGCAUGGCUGUCGUCAGCUCGUGUCGUGAGAUGUUCGGUUAAGUCCGCUAACGAGCGCAACCCUCGCCGUAUGUUACAAGUGUCAUACGGGACUGCCAGUAAAAAGCUGGAGGAAGGUGGGGAUGAUGUCAAGUCAGCAUGACCUUUAUAUCUAGGGCUACACACACGCUACAAUGGUCUGUACAAUGGGUAGCCAAGCCGCGAGGCGGAGCCAAUCCUAAAAAGCAGGCCUCAGUUCAGAUUGCAGUCUGCAACCCGACUGCAUGAAGCCGGAGUUGCUAGUAACCGCAGGUCAGCAAUACUGCGGUGAAUACGUUCCCGGGUCUUGUACACACCGCCCGUCACGUCAUGGAAGCUGGCAACGCCUGAAGCCGGUAUCCUAACCUCACGGGAAGGAGCCGUUUAAGGCGGGGUCGGUGACUGGGACGAAGUCGUAACAAGGUAGGUGUACCGGAAGGUGCGCCUG
rnacentral:rRNA from 1 species